rnacentral:rRNA from 1 species
AUGCCCACCGUGAAGGUUUUAGCUAUUGAAUAUGAUGGCCCUAAUCUUGAUACACUAAUUGGCCUGCUCAAGUGCUUCCCCUGCUUGGAGAGGCUGUAUGUCAUUUUUAACGCACGGUCGCGGAUGAAGAUUGAAAGUGUGCAAAAAUAUGGCCCACUAGAUCCAAUUGAAUGCCUCGAGAGCUAUCUCAAAAGAGUGGUGUUGGAGGGCUACUCUGGGGACAAGCCGAAUGUUGAAUUUGCUAAGUUUUUCGUUUUGAAUGCGAAGGUGCUAGAAGAAAUGAAAUUUGGAUCCAUUCACAGCCGCGACCGCGAAUGGAAGUCUAAUCAACACAUGUGGUUACUAGUGGACAGCAGAGCUUCUCGAGACGCUCGAUUCGAAUUCACAAGUCGUUAUUGUAGGCAUAAUGGCCUAGGUAACAGUCAUACACAUGAUUACCAAUGGCCAAUCCCUUCAAGUGCUUUGAUGCUGCAUGCAGAGUCGGCGCGGAAUGCCUAUUUUAUGAUUCAGUUCUUCAACUCAAUACUAUAUGCCGCUAGUGGAGAAGAUAAUGGGUUCAGUCUGCCCAGUUCAGCUUCAUAG